rnacentral:rRNA from 1 species
UGGGGAAUAUUGGACAAUGGGCGCAAGCCUGAACCAGCCAUGCCGCGUGCAGGAAGACGGUCCUAUGGAUUGUAAACUGCUUUUGUACAGGAAGAAACAUCCCAACGAGUCGGGACUUGACGGUACUGUAAGAAUAAGGAUCGGCUAACUCCGUGCCAGCAGCCGCGGUAAUAUCAC